rnacentral:lncRNA from 1 species
GAAACAUUCUGUCAGGCAGGCUAAGGACAAGAGAUGGGAUGUCCUGGAGUGACCUGGAACACCAGAGGAAAUAAAACGAAGACCAAUGGGUGGGAGCUGUGAAGAAGACAUUUUAGGAUCCAUGUAAAGGAAAAACGUUGAAACCAUUAGAGCCAUCCCCAAGUGGACCAGGCUGUCUUGUGAGGCAGGAUUGGGCUACCCUCAUGAGGAGUCUUCAGUGGAAGUCAGAUGGUUAUCUUCCAGGGAGAUUGUUCCUGUUUAGGGUCAGUGAAUGUUUUCUGGAAGCUGCUUCGGGCCAGGAGGAUGAACACCCGAGGGAGGUUCCAGGGACAAUUUACCAUGGGAUGAGCCAGAACUGGAAGAUAGACCUGUCAGACCUGAAGGUAGAGCACUGGAACACUGGAAUGAAGCUAGAGACUAAAUAAAAUAAUAUUUAUGAAAUCA